rnacentral:rRNA from 1 species
AAAUUGAAGAGUUUGAUCAUGGCUCAGAUUGAACGCUGGCGGCAGGCCUAACACAUGCAAGUCGAGCGGUAGCACAGAGAGCUUGCUCUCGGGUGACGAGCGGCGGACGGGUGAGUAAUGUCUGGGAAACUGCCUGAUGGAGGGGGAUAACUACUGGAAACGGUAGCUAAUACCGCAUAACGUCGCAAGACCAAAGUGGGGGACCUUCGGGCCUCAUGCCAUCAGAUGUGCCCAGAUGGGAUUAGCUAGUAGGUGGGGUAAUGGCUCACCUAGGCGACGAUCCCUAGCUGGUCUGAGAGGAUGACCAGCCACACUGGAACUGAGACACGGUCCAGACUCCUACGGGAGGCAGCAGUGGGGAAUAUUGCACAAUGGGCGCAAGCCUGAUGCAGCCAUGCCGCGUGUGUGAAGAAGGCCUUCGGGUUGUAAAGCACUUUCAGCGGGGAGGAAGGCGUUAAGGUUAAUAACCUUGGCGAUUGACGUUACCCGCAGAAGAAGCACCGGCUAACUCCGUGCCAGCAGCCGCGGUAAUACGGAGGGUGCAAGCGUUAAUCGGAAUUACUGGGCGUAAAGCGCACGCAGGCGGUCUGUCAAGUCGGAUGUGAAAUCCCCGGGCUCAACCUGGGAACUGCAUUCGAAACUGGCAGGCUAGAGUCUUGUAGAGGGGGUAGAAUUCCAGGUGUAGCGGUGAAAUGCGUAGAGAUCUGGAGGAAUACCGGUGGCGAAGGCGGCCCCCUGGACAAAGACUGACGCUCAGGUGCGAAAGCGUGGGGAGCAAACAGGAUUAGAUACCCUGGUAGUCCACGCCGUAAACGAUGUCGAUUUGGAGGUUGUGCCCUUGAGGCGUGGCUUCCGGAGCUAACGCGUUAAAUCGACCGCCUGGGGAGUACGGCCGCAAGGUUAAAACUCAAAUGAAUUGACGGGGGCCCGCACAAGCGGUGGAGCAUGUGGUUUAAUUCGAUGCAACGCGAAGAACCUUACCUGGUCUUGACAUCCACAGAACUUAGCAGAGAUGCUUUGGUGCCUUCGGGAACUGUGAGACAGGUGCUGCAUGGCUGUCGUCAGCUCGUGUUGUGAAAUGUUGGGUUAAGUCCCGCAACGAGCGCAACCCUUAUCCUUUGUUGCCAGCGGUCCGGCCGGGAACUCAAAGGAGACUGCCAGUGAUAAACUGGAGGAAGGUGGGGAUGACGUCAAGUCAUCAUGGCCCUUACGACCAGGGCUACACACGUGCUACAAUGGCAUAUACAAAGAGAAGCGACCUCGCGAGAGCAAGCGGACCUCAUAAAGUAUGUCGUAGUCCGGAUUGAGUCUGCAACUCGACUCCAUGAAGUCGGAAUCGCUAGUAAUCGUAGAUCAGAAUGCUACGGUGAAUACGUUCCCGGGCCUUGUACACACCGCCCGUCACACCAUGGGAGUGGGUUGCAAAAGAAGUAGGUAGCUUAACCUUCGGGAGGGCGCUUACCACUUUGUGAUUCAUGACUGGGGUGAAGUCGUAACAAGGUAACCGUAGGGGAACCUGCGGUUGGAUCACCUCCUUA